GGAUGUGAGGGCGAUCUGGCUGCAACAUUUGUCACCCCAUUGAUCGCCAGGGUUGAUUCAGCUGAUAUGGCUGGCUAGGUGGGUGUCCCUUUCCUCCCUCACCGCUCCAUGUGUGUCCUUCCUGAAGCUGCGCACUCGGUCAAAGAGGACGACCUUCCCCUAAUAGAGACGGACCGAUCUUUGGCUGAGGGUAUACGAGUAGAGUAGCUGUACUCCCCUGCUAGAACUUCCAAACAAGCUCUCAAGGAAUUAGUUUGUAAUUAAAAUGGAAAUUACUGCUAAUAGCAAUGGCACACUAACCCAGAUGUCCCACUGAUAAGAUGUUAGUAGUUUGGAAGUACU
rnacentral:snRNA from 1 species